rnacentral:rRNA from 1 species
AUUGAACGCUGGCGGCAGGCCUAACACAUGCAAGUCGAACGAGUGGCGGACGGGUGAGUAAUGUCUGGGAAACUGCCCGAUGGAGGGGGAUAACUACUGGAAACGGUAGCUAAUACCGCAUACCAUCGGAUGUGCCCAGAUGGGAGUAGCUAGUAGGUGGGGUAAGGGCUCACCUAGGCGACGAUCCCUAGCUGGUCUGCGAGGAUGACCAGCCACAAUGGAACGGAGACACGGUCCAGACUCCUACGUGAGGCAGCAGUGGGGAAUAUUGCACAAUGGGCGCAAGCCUGAUGCAGCCAUGCCGCGUGUAUGAAGAAGGCCGUCGGGUUGUAAAGUACUUUCAGCGGGGAGGCGUUACCCGCAGAAGAAGCACCGGCUAACUCCGUGCCAGCCGCCGCGGUAAUAC